rnacentral:rRNA from 1 species
CCUACGGGAGGCAGCAGUCGAGAAUUUUUCACAAUGGGGGAAACCCUGAUGGAGCGACGCCGCGUGGGGGAUGAAUGGCUUCAGCCCGUAAACCCCUGUCAUUUGCGAACAAACCUCUUUGCCUAACACGUGAAGAGCUGAUUGUAUCGAAAGAGGAAGGGACGGCUAACUCUGUGCCAGCAGCCGCGGUAAUACAGAGGUCCCAAGCGUUGUUCGGAUUCACUGGGCGUAAAGGGUGCGUAGGUGGUGGGGUAAGUCUGAUGUGAAAUCUCCGAGCUUAACGCGGAAAUGGCAUCGGAUACUAUUCUGCUAGAGGGCUGGAGAGGAGACUGGAAUUCUCGGUGUGAAUUGAAAUGCGUAGAUAUCGAGAGGAACACCCGUGGCGAAGGCAAGUCUCUGGACAGCACCUGACACUGAAGCACGAAAGCUAGGGGAGCAAACAGGAUUAGAUACCCUGGUAGUCCUAGCCGUAAACGGUGCACAUUUGCUGUGGGCGGAAUCGACCCCGUCCGUGGCGUAUCAAACGCGUUAAAUGUGCCGCCUGGGAAAUACGGUCGCGAGAUUAAAACUCAAAGAAAUUGACGGGGGCCUGCACAAGCGGUGGAGUAUGUGGCUUAAUUCGAUGCAACGCGAAGAACUUACCUGGCCUUGACAUGUAGGUGGUAGAAGCCUGAAUGGUGACGACCCCGCAGGGGAGCUUACACAUGUGCUGCAUGGCUGUCGUCACUCGUGCCCGAGAAGUAGGGUAAGACCCGCAACGAACUCAACCUUUGUGUCCUGUUGCACCCUUAGAGAGUAGGGCACUCUGGACCGACUGUCUCGCUAUCAAGAUGAAGUAUGUGG